rnacentral:rRNA from 1 species
AGGACGAACGCUGGCGGCGUGCUUAACACAUGCAAGUCGAGCGACGCUCCUCCUUCGGGAGGAUGACGGAGCGGCGAACGGGUGAGUAACACGUGGGCAACCUGCCCCUAGCAUUGGGAUAACCCCGGGAAAUCGGGACUAAUACCGAAUACGACCUCGCAAGGCAUCUUUCGAGGUGGAAAAGGUUACUGGCUAGGGAUGGGCCCGCGGCCUAUCAGCUUGUUGGUGGGGUAAAGCCUACCAAGGCGACGACGGGUA